GUCUAAGGCCACACCACCCUGAACGCGCCAGAUCUUGUCUGAUCUCAGAAGCUAAGCAGGGUUGGGCUUGGUUAGUAUUUGGAUGGGAGACCACGUAGGAAUACCGGCUGCUGUAGGCU
rnacentral:rRNA from 1 species